rnacentral:lncRNA from 1 species
UUUUAUGUCAAAUUUUGACAAUGAUUUCGGAUGCUUUUUGGACCAGAACAUUUUAUGGUCUUUAACUGUUUGAUUCUUAAAGUAGCGAUACUAUAUUACUAAAUUUUAUCACGUGAGUCAAGACAAGUGCCUUUCUAUUUGCAUGUGUUUUGUGAAUGCCUUAAAAUCUCUUUCGUCAUUCUGUUCACUUGUAAUGUUUGUUACAUAAAGACUUCAUAAAGACUAAUGGACAUGUGCUUUGAUUUAAUAGAACUUCAGAGAGAUAAAUGCAAAUAAUUCAUCAAUUCAUGAAGUUCUAGUUUAAUGUUCAGGUUAAGAGCUAGUCAUAAAUGCUUUCAAAGUUUGGUGGCUGAUGAAUUUGGAUCUAGAGUUCAAAGAGGAACUGCCUCUUUUUCCUUGUCAUUUUAGACAAAUCAGUCUUGGAAGGUGUUGAGAUACUGAGAUCAUUUAUCAUUUCUAUCUCUACUUUAUGUGUCAUUCUCUUUGGAAGUUAUUGUUACAAGAAGAGCAUUGGUGGCUCUUUUCUGGCAUCAAUUGGUAUGAAAGCUUUUACAUUAAACUUUUAGUUGGCUGCUCAAAUCCUAAAUAUCAACCCCUUUUAUUGCCUUACUUCGUUAUACAUUCAUUUAAAAGCUUGGAGGUCAAUUUUGAGCAUGAUGUAAUUCCAGAUGAUUUAUUUUUAUCUUAGAUUAGAUGUGUCUAACUUGGACUUGAGCUCUUGCAAUUAAUUGUGAUUCAGCCUCAACCUUAUGUAUUGGUUCAAUUUGGCUUAGAUCAGCCAACAUCAUUCCAUACUUUUUUAAUGGAUAGAGAAAAUAAU